rnacentral:lncRNA from 1 species
UUCACAAGCAUACUGACCAGAACUACUUCGGCUGACACCCUGGAAUCAACAAUUUCCAGGGACCGCAAGUUGAUGUAACUUGCGAGUUUCGGUGGAACCUGCCACCUAAGCUUCCAUUCCCAUUGGAACCAUUAACUAGGAUCCGCUGAUGCCAAUGUUAAUAAUGUUAAUAAUGUUAAUUAAUAUAGGUACAAGUCAAUUUCAUGUAUUGUAUAAAUGCUUUUUUCUAUCAACUUUUGUAAAAUGUAAAAAAUAAACUGUUUAGAAAAUA